UUGAUAACUUUGACGAAGGAAGCGAUAGCUUCGAGUCCUACUUGGAAAGAUUUGAGCUUUACGCCUCGGCAAAUGACAUAGCUGAAGGCAAGAAACUGGCUGUAUUCUUGACGGUAGUAGGUCCUCGAAUGUAUGAGGUAUUGAAGAACCUGUUGAUUCCUCAUUCUCCAUCAAGCAAAACGUAUAACGAGGUAACGGCUCUGCUAAAAAGUCACUACAGUCCCAGAAAGGCCGUGAUAGCAGAAAGGUCCCGAUUUAACCGAAGGAUGCAACUUGAGCAAGAGACUGUAGCCGAAUUUGUGGUUCAGCUGAAGCACCUGGCCAGAAGUUGCGAGUUUGGGAAAUUUCUAGACGAAGCACUUAGAGACCGACUAGUUGCCGGACUACGUGCGCCUGAUGCCACAAUCAUUACCCUCUGAGCAUUACCCUCUUCCAUUGCCAGAAGACUUGUUCGCAACGUUAGCAGGUUCAAGGGUAUUCUGUGUGCUUGACCUUGCUACCGCUUACCAGCAAGUAGAACUUGACGAAGCUGCGAAGGCGAUUUUAACUGUGAACACACACCAAGGUCUUUACCAAUACCAGCGUCUCCCUUAUGGCAUUGCAAGUGCUCCUGCCAUAUUCCAGUCGCUCAUGGACAGGAUUCUCAAAGGCGUCCCUCAAGUAGGGUGUUACAUUGAUGAUGUCAUAAUUGGGGGUACGAGUGCUGAUGACUGUCGGCAAAAGCUGGAAGAGGUGUUAACACGAUUACAGGAUCACAAUGUGACGCUGCGCAUGGAAAAAUGCAAGCUCUUUUGCAGCGAAGUUCGCUACCUGGGCCACAGAAUUUCAGCAGCGGGAAUCAAGCCAUUGGAAUCGAAAGUAAGGGCGAUAAAGGAUGCACCCGAGCCCAUGAAUGGUACAGAACUUAAGUCUUUUCUUGGAAUGGUAUCAUUCUACGCAAAGUUCCUAUCGGACUUGGCAACCGUAGCUGCGCCGCUCUACGAGCUGUUAAAGAAGGGCAAGCGUUGGAAUUGGACAAGUAAAUGCGCUCUCGCGUUUCGAGAAACGAAGAACUUGCUUACGACCAGUCCGGUACUUGCUUACUAUGAUCCAAUGCAACCCUUGGCGCUAAGCUGUGACGCGUCGCAGUAUGGGCUCGGCGCGGUUCUUUUUCAUAUACUUCCAAAUGGUACAGAAAAACCCAUUGCUUUUGCGUCCAGGACCCUAUCGCAAGCUGAGCGUAGCUAUGCCCAGAUCGAGCGAGAAGCGUUGGCGAUAAUCUUUGCCCUCAAGAAAUUCCAUCGCUAUCUGUAUGGGCGGACAUUCACGCUGUUCACGGAUCAUCAACCGCUGAUAAGCAUCUUAGGGCCACGGAAGCAGGUUCCAUCUUUGGCAGCCGCUCGCAUGCAACGAUGGGCUUUAAUCUUGGCUUCUUAUCGCUACGACUUGAAGUAUAGGAAAGGAUCUCAAAUGCAAGUUGCAGAUGCACUGUCCAGACUACCUGUUUUAAGUGGAACCAGUAUAGAGGAGACAGAUACCCUCGCUGUUUUUGAAACUACGCCACUGACGGCUAUGGAUGUUGCUAAAGCAACCAAGUAUGACGGCACCCUAAGCAAGGUUUACCGAUAUACACUGGAAGGAUGGCCAGCACAAGUCAAAGACGCUGAACUAAUACCUUACUAUAGCAGACGCGCGGAGCUAUCGUUAGAAUCGGGAUGCGUCACGUGGGGAAGUCGUGUUAUUGUGCCACCAACGUUGCAAGACGCCGUGCUGGGACUGUUGCACGCAGAACACCCCGGGGCAUCGCGCAUGAAGAUGCUCGCUCGUAGCCUACUAUGGUGGCCAGGCCUAGAUGCAGAUAUAGAAGGAGUGGUAAAAAGGUGCAGCAUCUGCCAAGCGAUGCAAAACAGUGCUCCUCGUGCACCGCUCGAGCCAUGGCCAUUUCCCGCCCGAUGCUGGCAGCGAGUGCAUUUGGAUUUUUUCGAAUUUGAAAAAACGACAUUCCUUUUGUGUGUCCACUCAUCUUCAAAGUGGAUUGAGGUGUUCCCUAUGAGCUCAACUACGGCCGCGAAGACUAUCGAGCGUUUGCGGAGUCUGUUUUCUUCUUACGGAUUCCCUGAACUGAUACCAUUUCUGAUAAUGGUCCACAGUUUUCAUCACAGGAGUUCCAGGACUUCCUCGAUGCCUGUGGCAUCAGGCGCACGUACAGCCCGCCAUACCAUCCGGAAUCCAAUGGAGCUGCCGAGAGGAUGGUGCAAACCGUUAAGAGGAGCCUCCGCAAGCAGCUGUUGCACGACAAGGGAGAAAACGGCAGACCGCUGCGGGAGAGGCUGGAUGACUUCUUGCUGGCAUAUCGGACAACACCUAGCACAGUAACAGUUUCCAGCAUGCAGGAUCAAACGUGGGUGCGGAGGCCCCGAGAAGACACGGCACUGAGGACGUUGUGCGUCAUCGGGAGGCCCCAACCAUGCCCCAGCAGGCGUAUCAUGAAGCGGACACGGCAGCACCUCCCCCAGAGGAUGCAAUAACGCCGGAACCACCACCACCAGACGGGCAGGAAUUGCCACUGCCUGCUCCCCACAAUGACCAUCCUCAGACGCAAGCAGAAGCACCUUCCGACCCUCCACCAGUACUGCGCCGAAGUCAGCGUGCCAGGAAACCACCAGACCGAUAUGGGUCUCACGAUGUCCGCCGCUGAAAAUAGUAAUGACGACGACGAUCUUGGGGGGGAGGAAUGUGAUGACGUAACGCCAAGCGCAUGCCGUGCCACUUCGUCAUCACGGGGCACUGAUAUCAGCAGCGGAUAAGUAACCGCUGCCUAUAAAAAGCGUGUGCUAAAGAAUAAACGCUGAUUCCUUGUUCUGCA